GGGGGCAUUCCACAUGCGCAUACAUGUCUAAAUGCAACAGUAUACUUCAGAUUUGCACCCAUUCAUCCAUCACCUUUCUUCAAGCCGAUUCAAUGCAAAGGUGAGAAAACUUGGGAAGAGAAGGCAAUAAUGCAAAGCCAGUCACCGUCGAGCCGUAGAGAGAAAAGGGGGCAAAACAACAGUGGACAAUUAAAAUCCAAAGGAGAAUCUAUUGACGUCCACUGUUGAAUGCAGCUGCAGCAGCAGCAGGCAAGAGGAGGAGGAGGAGAGGAGAGAGCCAGCAAGAAAGCAUGGAAAGCUGUGGUGCACUUUCAGCUUGUAAGAAUUUGCAAUGGUCAGGGCUGCCAUGGCCAGUAUGCAUGGUUCAGUUAAAUGGGGAAAGUGCAUUGCCUGGCAACACAGGCUGUGUGGCAUUGAACUUUCUUUCAGGUCCUCUAAAGGUUUGCUGGUUCCAGCCUUUUCAGAUUUUUUUUUCUGGGAGAAGUUUCAGCCUUUUGCAGUGACCGGAAAUGCUUGUUUGAGUCUGCUGUUUUUGCAGCUUGAGGAAUCAAAAAUUGUAACCUGGCAUCUAGCAGGGAGGCUUGCAUGAAUGUAUUCUUGGUUAAGAAAAGAACACUGCUGAGGGAUCUCUGGAUCAAUUCCCUUGGGAGCAUCUACUUGCUUGUUCAAGAAACUGCAUUUUUAUCUGAAUUUUUCUUCUCAUUGCAACCUCGCAUUCCAUUUCCUUUUCAAUUUCCCCCCAUUUUUCCUGUACUUCUCCUUUUUCAGAUAGAUGGGGGUGAGAAGAAUCAGAAUAAAUCUGAAAUGUGUUAUGGAGGAUCCAGAAUUCUUUGGACUGUCCCAGGCUCAUAAAGACAAUGUAUUAAACUCAAGCAUCUCAUGUCAUGAACAGGUUAACCGCGCUAAUCCCGGUGUUUGUUAAGGCAGAGAGAGAGAGAUGCCGUUGCUACUGAAGAGAGCACCGAUGUGAUGGAGCACAGUGUCCAAUCCUCCAUGCGUUGUCUCGUGAAUUCGUCAGUGGUGGUUAGUUUUUUGGCACGACAUCUUGGCCUGAAAACGACGAGGUCUUCACGAGGCGUCUUUGGAGGCUAGGAGAGGAGCUUCAGGUCUUUACUGUGGGAGGCUUGUUUCAAACAAAAAGUAUUUUGAGAUAUCAGUACCUCGCAAUAUUAAAUUAUUUUUAAUCAUUAGAUCUAGUAGUGCACAUCCUGCUCAUGUGGAUUUAAUGGUAGGAAACGAUUUGAUAUUUCAAGGUACUUUUUAUUGUACUAGAGCAAAUCUCUACUAUUGAGUCACAUACAUGUAAUGAUGAUGUCAUGGACUUCUGGUCUAGAAGAAGAGAAUCGUCCAAAAAUGAAGAAAUAAUGGUGAUGUAUU